rnacentral:rRNA from 1 species
GUGGGGAAUCUUGCGCAAUGGGCGAAAGCCUGACGCAGCCAUGCCGCGUGAAUGAUGAAGGUCUUAGGAUUGUAAAAUUCUUUCACCGGGGACGAUAAUGACGGUACCCGGAGAAGAAGCUCCGGCUAACUUCGUGCCAGCAGCCGCGGUAAUACGAAGGGGGCUAGCGUUGCUCGGAAUACUGGGCGUAAAGGGCGCGUAGGCGGACAGCUUAGUCAGAGGUGAAAGCCCAGGGCUCAACCUUGGAAUUGCCUUUGAUACUGACUGUCUUGAGUUUGGGAGAGGUGAGUGGAACUCCGAGUGUAGAGGUGAAAUUCGUAGAUAUUCGGAAGAACACCAGUGGCGAAGGCGACUCACUGGCCCAAUACUGACGCUGAGGCGCGAAAGCGUGGGGAGCAAACAGGAUUAGAAACCCUUGUAGUCC